ensembl:lncRNA
GUUGACCAUUCUUUCACCAUGCGUUCACAGGGGAAGGACCUGAGUUCCACCGGUCAUCUGAAGUCAUUCUAAUUCUCCGGUUGGAACGUUAUUCAAGAUAUAUGUAAACAACAUUCCUAAAGAUUGAUUCAGUACAUCGUUUGACAUGUUUCUACUGACUUAUGGAACUUUUGGACAUUUAGUCACGUUAUAGUGGACGCGCUUUGUGACUUUGGAAUUGUUUACCAAACAAGCUAACCAAAGUAGCUAAUUGGACAUCAAUAACGGACAUUUUCAAACAAAUCAAGCAUGUAUUGUGGACCUGGGAUUCCUAUGACCACAUUCUGAUGAAGGUCAUCAAAGAGCCCAGUGGGGUGCCAUUUGGGACACAAACCAUGUUACCUCACAGACGUCCACCCCACACAUCCUGUUUGUGGCAGCAUCCUCCAUUGUUCAUCUGUAUCUACCUGAGCAGGAAGCGGGAGAGGGGGAGGAUGGAGGAAGAGGGGGAGGAUGGAAAAUAUGCUGAUACAUGCCCAAGAUAGAGAAGAUGUAUUUGAAAGAGGAAACAGUUCACUGCUGUUCAUUGAUCAUCCCAAACUAUUCUCAAAGGAGUGCAAAGGAAAUGGUAAUGUAUUUGUGUAUUGUGUCCAAAUGGUAUGGGAUGGGUUAAGUAGACUAGAGGGACAUGGGGAGUGGAGAGCCUUGCUAACAACAAAGAGAAGAAGGUACCUUGAAGGGACCAACACCCUGACUGAUGUCACCCUAAGGAAGUCCUUUGAAGAGGAUGGGGGCACAAAGACAUCCAGGCAGUACAAUGUGGCGUUGUGCACUCACAGCAUCUUCAGGAGAUGACUCUAUCCCCUCGGGGAAAGAGGUUCCACAAUGCAGGAUGGUUGUCAUCACAUUGUUUUGAGGAUGCCCCCCAUUCCCAUCUGACAUAGCUGGGUAAAUAAAAUGAAGGACCUGAGCCCUAGGACCAUGCCCCAAGACUACCUGACAUGAUGACUCCUUGCUGUCCCCAGUCCAUCUGACCGUGCUGCUGCUCCAGUUUCAACUGUUCUGCCUUAUUAUUAUACCACCAUGCUGGUCAUUUAUGAACAUUUGAACACCUUGGCCAUGUUCUGUUAUAACUUCCACCCGGCACAGCCAGAAGAGGACUGGCCACCCCACAUAGCCUGGUUUCUCUCUAGGUUUCUUCCUAGGUUUUGGCCUUUCUAGGGAGUUUUUCCUAGCCACCGUGCUUCUACACCUGCAUUGCUUGGUGUUUGGGGUUUUAGGCUGGGUUUCUGUACAGCACUUUGAGAUAUCAGCUGAUGUACGAAGAGCUAUAUAAAUAAAUUUGAUUUGAUUUUGAUUUUGAUUUGAUUUAUCGUUGUCCCUGAUUGAGAACCAUAUUUAGGUAGCCUGGUUUUACUUUUGAGUUGUGGGUGAUAAUUUUCCUUGUUAGUGUUUGUUACCACACUGGACCGUUUCGUUUGUUUCACUUUGUUAUUUUGCAUUUUUAGUGUUCAGUUUGUCUUAUUAAAAUGGACACUUACCACGCUGCAAAUUGGUCCGACCUCUCUUACUCCUCAUCAGAGGAAGACGACGAACGUUACAGAAUCACUCACCACCAAAGGACCAAGCAGCGUGGUAACAGGCAGCAGCAGCAGGAGCAGCGCUAUAAGGAGGAAUGGACAUGAGAGGACAUUCUGGAUGGCAAGGGUUGCUACACAUGGGAGGAGAUCCUGGCUGGAAGGGAUCGCCUCCCAUGGGAACAGGUGGAGGCAGCCAGGAGAGUGGAGGCAGUAGGUAAACGGAGCCAGCGCAUUGAGGGAACACAGCUGGCAAGGAAGCCUGAGAGGCAGCCCCAAAAAUGUAUUGGGGGGUGGCACACGGGGAGUGUGGCUAAGUCAGGUAGGAGACCUGAGCCAACUCGCCGUGCUUACCGUGGAGAGAGAGGGACCGGGCAGGCACCGUGGUAUGCCGUGAGGCGCACGGUGUCCCCGGUGCACGUGCAUAGCACGGUGCGGUACAUAGCAGCGCCUCGUAUCAACCGGGCUAGAUUGGGCAUCGAGCCAGCUGCCAUGAAGCCGGCUCACCGCAUCUGGUCUCCAGUGCGUCUCUUCAGGCCGGGGUACCUGGCACCAGCCCUACGCAUGAUGUCCCCGGUUCGCCAGCACAGCCCAGUGUGGGCUAUUCCACCUCGAAGCACUGGCCUGGCUACGGGGAGCAUUCAGCCAGGAAGGGUUGGGAAGGCUCAGCAUUCCGCCCCUGUCGCUUUGUCUCCUUCCUACAGGUGCUCCCGCUGCCAGAGUCUCCCUCCUGUCCAGCGCUGCCAGAGUCUCCCUCCAGUCCGGAUCUGCCAGAGUCUCCCUCCAGUCCGGAUCUGCCAGAGUCUCCCUCCAGCUGCCAGAGUCUCCCGUUUGUCCGGAGCUGCCAGAGUCUCCCAUAUGUCCGGAGCUGCCAGAGUCUCCCGUCUGUCCGGAGCUGCCAGAUUCUCCCGUCUGUCCGGAGCUGCCAGAUUCUCCCGUCUGUCCGGAGCUGCCAGAUUAUCCCGUCUGUCCGGAGCUGCCAGAGUCUCCCGUCUGUCCGGAGCUGCCAGAUUCUCCCGUCUGUCCGGAGCUGCCAGAGUCUCCCGUCUGUCCGGAGCUGCCAGAGUCUCCCGUCUGUCCGGAGCUGCCAGAUUCUCCCGUCUGUCCGGAGCUGCCAGAGUCGCCAGUCAGCCAGGAGCUGCCAGAGCCGCCAGUCAGCCAGGAGCUGCCAGAGCCGCCAGUCAGCCAGGAGCUGCCAGAACCCCCAGUCAGCCAGGAGCUGCCAGAGCCGCCAGUCAACCAGGAGCUGCCAGAGCCACCACCGCAGACAGACCGCCACCCAGACCCUCCCCUAUAGGUUUUGCAGCCGGAGUCCGCACCUUUAGUGGGGUACUGUCACGUUCUGACCUUAGUUCUUUUGUUAUGUCUUUGUUUUAGUGUGGUCAGGGUGUGAGUGGGGGUAGGUUGUCUAUGUUCCUUUUCUAUGUUUAGGGAUUUCUGUGUUUGGCCUAGUAUGGUUCUCAAUCAGAGGCAGCUGUUUAUCGUUGUCCCUGAUUGAGAACCAUAUUUAGGUAGCCUGGUUUCACUUUUGAGUUGUUGGUGAUUAUUUUCUGGGUUAGUGUUUGUUACCACAUGGGACCGUUUUGUUUGUUUCACUUUGUUAUUUUCUAUUUUUGUAG